CCUACGGGUGGCAGCAGUGAGGAAUAUUGGUCAAUGGACGAGAGUCUGAACCAGCCAAGUAGCGUGAAGGAUGACUGCCCUAUGGGUUGUAAACUUCUUUUAUAUGGGAAUAAAAUGUUCCACGUGUGGGAUUUUGUAUGUACCAUAUGAAUAAGGAUCGGCUAACUCCGUGCCAGCAGCCGCGGUAAUACGGAGGAUCCGAGCGUUAUCCGGAUUUAUUGGGUUUAAAGGGAGCGUAGGUGGAUUGUUAAGUCAGUUGUGAAAGUUUGCGACUCAACCGUAAAAUUGCAGUUGAAACUGGCAGUCUUGAGUACAGUAGAGGUGAGCGGAAUUCGUGGUGUAGCGGUGAAAUGCUUAGAUAUCACGAAGAACUCCGAUUGCGAAGGCAGUUCACUGGACUGCAACUGACACUGAGGCUCGAAAGUGUGGGUAUCAAACAGGAUUAGAUACCCUUGUAGUC
rnacentral:rRNA from 1 species